GACGAACGCUGGCGGCGUGCCUAAUACAUGCGAGUAGGACGCAUUUGCGAACGGUUGAGUAACGCGUAGGUAACUGCCUCAUAGCGUGGGAUAACUAUUGGAAACGAUAGCUAAUACCGCAUACUGUGAGAUGGACCUGCGUUGUAUUAGUUAGUUGGUGAGGUAAAGGCUCACCAAGGCGACGUUAAAUAGCCGACCUGAAAUGGCGAUCGGCCACAUUUGGCCUGCGACAUGGGUCAGACUCCUAUGGGAGGCAGCAAUAGGUAAACUUCGGACAUGGACGGAAGUUUGACCCAGCAACGCAGAGUGAGUGCAGAAGGUUCUCGGACCGUAAAGCUCUGUUGUUAGAGAAGCGGAAACUAACCAGAAAGGGACGGCUAACGACGUGCCAGUAGCCGCGGAAAUUC
rnacentral:rRNA from 1 species